rnacentral:rRNA from 1 species
UACGAGGGGGGCAAAUGUUGUUCGGAAUCACUGGGCGUAAAGGGCGCGUAGGCGGGUUCUUAAGUAAGGUGUUUAAUCCCGGGGCCCAACCCCGGACCGGCACUUUAAACUGGGAAUCUUGAAUAGUGGAGAGGUCGGUGGAAUUGGGGGUGUAGCGGUGGAAUGCGUAGAGAUCCCCAAGAACACCAGUUGCGAAGGCGGCCGACUGGACACAUAUUGACGCUGAGGCUCGAAAGCAUGGGGAGCAAACAGG